GCGUCUCUUUUUUGUUUUUCGUGACGCGUUUUUUGUCUUUCCUCUGUUUUCUCGACCAGCUCGUGAAGCCAAAGUACCGCUCGCUGUCGUACCCGUACCUGCUGCCCAAAUCUCACACCACGGCUGCAGAGCAGCGAUACCAAGUCCCCAACUGCAUCCCCACCAAAGUGCAGAUCCUCCGCUCGUCCGCCGACUGGUCCGCCGGCAUCAAAUACCACGAGGAGUCCAUCCACAACGCCUACGUCCACGUCAUCCAGAACAGCAAACACUUCAUCUACAUAGAGAAUCAGUUCUUCAUCAGCUGUGCAGACAACCGACACGUUUUCAACAAGAUAGGAGACGCGAUUGCAGAGCGCAUCAUCAGAGCG